GACGGAGGGUGCAAGCGUUGUUCGGAAUUACUGGGCGUAAAGCGUACGUAGGCGGCGGGUUAAGUCGAAUGUUAAAGCCUGGAGCUCAACUCCAGAGAUGCAUUCGAUACUGGCUUGCUAGAGGUUGAUAGAGGAAAGCGGAAUUCCGAGUGUAGCGGUGAAAUGCGUAGAUAUUCGGAGGAACAUCAGUAGCGAAGGCGGCUUUCUGGGUCACACCUGACGCUGAGGUACGAAAGCGUGGGGAGCGAACGGG
rnacentral:rRNA from 1 species